ACACACACACACCCGCGUACGCAACCACGCUGCGGGGCAGUCCCUUCCCAAGCCAAGGCGCAGCACGGAGGUGCGGGCAGUAGACGCGCGCGUGCGCCCAGGGGCCGCUUAUCGCGAGGCCGCCUCUGCGGGUCCCCUGCAACGUGCGGGCGCGGCCAGAAGGAGGCCGGCGCGGAGCGGAGCCCGGGGAACAUGCAGAAACCGAGGCACUGAGACUGCCAGCAGCGUGCAGUAGUGGGAAUGUCCCCAAGGCAGAAGUGAAUCAAGAUUCUUAGAUGAUGAGAGCUCCAUUGAAAGAAAAAAGAUGCACUAAGUGAGGAAACCGACAUUGAACACCUCCUCUACCAGGGAGAGGCAGAUCCAUAACGCAUCUGUUGACACCUGGACGGCACAGCGGAGGGAGCUGCACCUCUCUGCCCGGCCCUGCAGCCCCACUGUGGUUUUCCUGCCAAGCUGCAGUGGUUGCUGGGAAGAACACCUGGUGGGUGAGUGAUGGGAGAGCUUCCCGCUGGCAGCAGCCACCUCUGCCCAGAGCCAUGCUCGUCACUGGGUGCCAUGGAGGGCCCAGGCAGGAAGCCUGAGAACACUGUUCCAGACACAUCUGCUGUAGAGCCGUGCCCUGGAGUGAGCCUGACCACGUCGACUUACUUCACUCAGUAUGACAGUCUCUAGAUUCAUCCACAUCUCUGCAAAUGGCACAGUUUCAUUCCUUUUUGUGGCUGAAUAAUAUCCACUGAAUAUACAGAUGAACUUUUUUUCAAAGCAGAAAUGGAGACACAGAUGUAGAGAACAAACAUAUGGAUCCCAAAGAGAGAAGUGGGGGAGUGGGUGGGAUGAAUUGGGAGAUUGGGAGUGACAUAUAUAUGUACUGUAUGUGUGUCUGCUAGUCACUCAGUUGUUAUGUAUGAAAUAGAUAACUAAUGAGAACUGACUAUAUAGCACAGAAAAUUCUACUCAGUGCUCAAUGGUGACCUCAAUUGUGCCCCUCCUACCGUCUUGUUGUGGCUUCUCCUUUGUCCUUGGAUGUGGGGUAUCUUUUUUUGGGUAGAUUUCAACAUCCUCCUAUUGAUGGUUGUCCAACAGCUAGUUGUGAUUUUGGUGUUCUCGAAGGAGCAGAUGAGCUCAUAUCCUUCUAUUCUGCCAUCUUGAUCUCCCUUUUAAAAAAAAAAAAAGGAUAUAUGUAUAGUGCUACUGCUAAGUCGCUUCAGUCGUGUCCAACUCUGUGUGACCCCAUAGACGGCAGCCCACC